ACGUAGGGUGCAAGCGUUGUCCGGAUUUAUUGGGCGUAAAGAGCUCGUAGGCGGUUUGUCGCGUCGGAUGUGAAAACCCAAUGGCUUAACCUUGGGCCUGCAUUCGAUACGGGCAAACUAGAGUGUGGUAGGGGAGACUGGAACUCCUGGUGUAGCGGUGGAAUGCGCAGAUAUCAGGAAGAACACCGAUGGCGAAGGCAGGUCUCUGGGCCAUAACUGACGCUGAGGAGCGAAAGCGUGGGGAGCGAACAG
rnacentral:rRNA from 1 species